rnacentral:lncRNA from 1 species
GUUCCAUCCUCCUGAAUGCGGAGCUAAUGCCAGAGGGAUAUGGACUUUGUAUCAAGACAUCCUCUUCCCACCAGACAGCAGUGUCUCCCCUGCUGAGGGGCAGAAGCAACACAGGAUUUUGCCCGGAACUCUCUAUACUUUGUAGCACAGGCUGUCCUCACUCACACCCUCCUUCCAGACUCUGGGAUUUCAAGCAUGAGCCGCUGCACCCCAUUCAAACUGCAUUUCUUUCACUCUUGCAGCACAGAGUGAGCCUGGGACGUGUGUGUAAGAAGCAAACACGACCAGGGAACUAAACUCCCAGUGCUGGAUUUUUCAUCCUAGUUUCUUCCUCUUGCUCUCUCUUACCAAGAACCCAUGUUCUGGAUGGAGAGACGGCUCUGUCAUAGUUAACAGAACGGGCAGCUCUGCCAGAGCACCCAGGUUCCAGUCCCAGCACCCACAUGGACUCACAGCCAUCUUUAACUCUAGUCUCAUGGAAUCCAAUAUCAGCUUCUGGCCUCUGCAUUCACAUAUGUGGUGCACGGG